CGUGCCCCAGACAGACUUUGACAUCGUAACUGCUAACAUGCUAACUUUCCACAUGACAUCGUAACUCAAUAUGUACAUUGAUUCCAUUACAAAGGUGCAGUCAGAACUAUACAGGCUCCUUGCUUCGGCACGAAUGCAGUGAAUGUCUGCCGCACAUGCUAUGCUAUAGAGCAAUAACUGUGAAAAACAAUAGUGCGAAGGACGUGAAUAUAAUUGUUGUCAGUGGAACAUUUGUGAUAACUGUUGUGGGCAACGAUUCAGUAAAUCUGUAUUGAAAAAGUGAUGUGACCAACACACAUCAUGUCGCACAUAUAUGGUGUACGUACUACGGCCAGCCCCAUUCCAAAUCCACAGAAACACGAAAGGCUUUUCCUACUGUCUCAUUGGAUGCUGCCAAUCGUUGCUGCCCCUCUUCAAUCGUGCUCAUUGCUGCCAAAGACUGUUUACAUUGCGUUUUUCUUCAAAUAGUGGUGCUUUGUGAGCUAAUUUCGAUUGUAUUAUACUUAGGGCCUGACUUUUUCGGGUUUUAUUUUUGGCCAAAUUCGGGGGGUAAUUAUCGGGUGAUAUUUUUUAUUUGAAAAUUCGGGUGUAUUCGGGUUAAAUCCCGUUACGACAUAUUCUGUCGUCAGGAAUUCGGGUGAUCUUUUUUUUUCAAAUAAAAAUUUGUCUUAACAUGGAACUAAUGUUUAGCAAUGUUAUCAAACUUUAUUUUAAUGCACGCUUAUGAGUGUGCCACGUGACCUGGAUGUUUUCGGGUAGAUUCGGGUUAAACCCGAAUUUUACAGAUUUUGUUCGGGGGGUAAAUAUCGGGCGGAUACGGGUUUAACCCUAAAAAGUCAGGCCGUAAUUAUACUAUAAUCCGAACACGUACUUUCAUGUAAAGAGUUCUUUUUGCAUUUUAGUGCCCCUUUAAAUAGACAUGAUCUGCCUUCACCGGAUUAUGUAACAGUUCUUUUUGAAUUUGUGGCAUAAUAAUCAAGUGGCAUGUUGAAAACCUAUAGCCCAGAAUAUGAGCCUGUAGCCCAGAAUGUAGGUGUCAUCCUCCAGGUGCACGCAAUAACUGGAGCCUGAUAUGUUAGGGUUCAACCUGAUUGUUCCCUGAAUUUGCAGUGCAUGCGCUUUUUCUUGCUUUCUGUUUAUUUGCCUGUUAUAGAAUAGACUUCUUUGAUAUUGUUUUACUUGCUUUUCUUUGAAAUCUUAAUCAUUUCUCCAUGAGAGUGUGUUCCACAACCUACGUCCCAUCUCCAUACUCACAAAGUGCAUGAAGGUGCACCUAAUGCUUCCUGAUCCAUGAAUAUGUAAAUACUGUUACGUGACGCCAGUGAUGAUAAGGUGGCCAGCAGAACUUUGUACUCAUAUAAAGUGAUGCGACUCCUUAUCUGAGGUUUUUGUUCAUUGAAGUUAACUAUACUGCAAUGUGACUUAUUGUCUUGACUUCGUUGUACGCUAUAGUAUGAGAAGUACAGGACUGCACAGACAGAUUUGCUCAUAUGUUUUGUAAGUGUCCGUCUGUGGCAUCAUCAUGCCACGCAACUCUUUGUACAGUGAGGGGAGGUAGGUUCCUUGGGAGAAUGAAAAAGGAGAUUGGUGUCAUGCAUCAAAAGCUUUUCUACUUUUAACCAACUGUCAAGUGACCAUGGCAAGACUAAUGGAAAACUUUGCAACCACUUACGUACCACAGCAUGUUACAAUAUCACUGUCAUUGUCCGCGCUAUGUGGCUCUAGCUGCACUCUUCUUUAUAUCAUGCUUUCACAUUGUAAUUCCAGUAUUUUUUCUCUUUUUUUUCCUUGUGUUUCAGUUGCAAGUCUUCGCACAGGUGCAUAACAGGACCCUAACCACGGAUCAUGAAGAGAAUGGCGUAGUCCAGGGCACAGAGGGGGACAAUUGCAGCAGAACCCUUUUUCUUAAACAAGGACACUUCUAAUAUGCAUAUUGUUGCUACAACUUCCACCUCUGCACCGUGCUGCGACUGAAGAAUGUCGAGUAGUCCUACUUUUGGACGGAAACUACAUGAGCACACUCUCGAAGAACAGCUCUCAGCUUCAUCUAUGUGCUCCAUUAUUAUUCCUGUACCCUUAGGAGAAUACAAAAGCACAUAUAUGGUUUUACAGCUCUAUGAAGUACAUGAAAACAUCAGAGAGCAGAAAGUCCUACUCUGUCUCCUAAAUUGCUGGACAUUAAAAAAGAAAAAUACAGAG